GGGGGUAUAGCUCAGUGAUAGAGCAUUUGACUGCAGACCAAGAGGCCCCUGGUUCAAAUCCCAGUGCCCUCU
rnacentral:tRNA from 1 species